AAACCUAAACCUAUAUCGCGUCGUCCACCAUAUACCGUCGCAACGCCGCCGCCACUUUCCUCCUCGCCACUGACCGUCCGACUAUCUCUCUCAGCCUCAUCUCCCUCUUCCCCUUCCUAGAUGGAUGCCCCUUCCUCUCCUGAUCAUGAUCAACACACGACGCCCUUGCUUCUCCGUCCAACCACACCGCAUCUCCUCCAACUCCUCCCUUUGGGUGAGAAGAGGAGCCCUUCUUCACAUUCUGAUAAUUUUUCCUUCAUUCAUCUCCGGUCCAGCAUUCACUGCCACCGCUGGAGUCCUCCAAAGUACUCAGACUAGUUUAUGUGUUUAUUAUUGUGCUCGAUCUGCUUUUGGUUGCUUUGUUGUGGAUGCCCCCUCUCGAGCUCCGUAUUAGAUUUCACCCGAUCGGCUCCGUUGCAUUGAGCUAUGGCACCAGGUGCGUCUCUUUUCUUUGUUUUGUCUGCGGCUAAGAUGUUGUCUUGAAAGUUGGUAUUGAUGUUGUUUCUUUUACUCCGAGUUCGUUCUUCCAGAGGGAUUCAAUUUUUGUUUGUUUGUUCAUUGGAUCCUUUGAGAAAUUAAAUUUGGGUAGUGUAUUUGCUGUGGAGUUGAAGGUUUCGUUCUGUGAAGAGAUUAAUAAUGAAUGGAUUGGCAUUUCGUUGUUCCGAUAGGGGCAAAAAAAUAUCUUUUUUAGGUGUAGUGUAUAAUAGUAGGUUUAGGGUGACCUUGAACUGUUUUAAUAGGGAGCCUUUCUUUGUUUACUAGUUUUUUCUCCCCCUCUAGCUCCAACAACGAUUUGGUUUGCUGGUGAUAUUGCUCUGGGCGGAGAAUUUUUCUUGUUGAAGAAGUAGAGAAUGAGACAAAUAUUUGGGCAUUAGCUUUUUCUCAGAGAUAUUUUGCUUCUUUUACUCAUAUUUGUGCUCCAUUACUUCUAGUAUAAUUUGGUGAGAGUAACUCAUUGAUGGCUGAUCAUUUCAGUGAAUCUUCUAUUAUCUUUUAUUUUUCUGUUUGAGGAAUUCUUUUUAAGUUUGUAGGUCAUGAAUAUAAGCUAUGUCUGGGCAAACCAGAAAGUAGGCACUGCUCCAUGUUAAUGCUCUGAGUGAUGCUGAAAGAAGCACGAGUUGUGUCACCACUCAGACUUGUAAGAAUGGUCAUAGACGAUUACCUUUUGUGGUCACUAGAGUAGAUCUGGAAAAGGGUCGCCAAUAGUGUCAGAAUCCAUCUGUGAUUCUGGCACGAGGUAAAUUAGCAAGAAAAUGACAUCUGCUUAUAAGAACUGCAGGAAGACCUAUGUCAAAAUUUGAAAACCUUCCUUUCCUGAAAAAAGAGGCUAAGGUAAAAUCUUUGCAGCAAACAGAUGCUCAUGUGACCAGUGACCAUCCUUUGAAGCUUAAAGAGCACAGAUUAGAUAUUGGAGAUGAAAAUUAUGAUUUGUUGGGAUAUGAAGUUUACUCUGGGAAACUUGUUCUAGAUAAUAAAAACAAAGGCACAACUACUGAUGAACAAAUUGGAUCAAGGAUUGGAAACUCUGAUAGUAUUGAUGCAAAGCUUUCAAGCAAAGCCCUAGCUUGGGGUUCCCAUGUGCUACAUGUUGGCGAUGUCAUAUCACAUCUAAUCCAUAGGAAGCCGUAAGGUGGGUCCAGAGCUUUGCAGAUCUCCAAUGCUACAUAAACUGCUUGCCACAUCUAAUAGUAUCUUGCAAGAAGCAGUCUACAAAUGUAGUGACAUCUGACCCUCUGUAUGUCAUUCCAUAUAUAAAAUGCAAAAGUCAACCAAAGAUAUUAGUGAUUUUGAAUCCUCGUUCUGGGCAUGGUCGUUCAAGUAAAGUAUUCCAUAAUAAAGUUGAGCCAAUAUUUAAGGUGUGACAGGUCUUCUACAUUCUUGACUAGAAAAUAGUAGAAACUAAAAAAUUGCUUCAAUUAUUGAAAAUCUAACACUAUUAUAAAUGUUUAGGCUUGUUUAUUCACUGAGAAACUUAUUGACAGCUUGUAGGCUUCGAAAUGGAAGUGGUUAAAACAGAAUAUGCUGGUCAUGCAAGAGAACUUGCUUCCACUAUAGAAAUCAACACCUACCCUAAUGGAAUAGUAUGUGUUGGAGGAGAUGGCAUUGUGAAUGAGGUACUUAAUGGUCUUUUGAGCAGAGAUAAACAAAAGGAUGCACUUUCUAUUCCAAUUGGCAUUAUUCCUGCUGAUUUAGAGAAAUUCACUAUUCUAGACUAUUUUGGGGGUUAGGGAUCCCCCAAAAUAUCUAUUACCUUUUGAUGUUGUAAAAAAAAUAUUUGUAUAUUUUAUGGAUACUGUUGUAAGAAGAAUAUUUGUGUAAUUUGUGGAUACGGACUUGAUGUGUACAAUAUCUAUU